AGGCCAAGAAUCUGAAUUAUUUGCACUUCGUACUAGGCCUGUUCAGGUACCGACCGGCACCGACGAAACCGGCCGACGUCGAACCAAUCCGACCGCUUCACAAGCCACCGUAGAUGUCCGGCGCGGUGGUCGGUGACGAUCUGGACAAACCGAAGAUGUCCGGUGCGGCAAGCGGUGGUUGUUUUGCACUCCGACGAGAAACCGCACCGCACCAGUAUCUAUAUAAAUACACACUAUAAUUUAACAUGUAUGUAUCAAUGUUUACAGUUUUUUAUUUUUAUGUUUCAGUAGAUUGAAGAAAACCCAGAGAAGCCAUGAAAGCAAAUGCAAGGAAUAGGAAGAAGAAGAAAACGGCGCUGGACUUAACAUAAGGAUAGUCCCAGUAAGUCAGCAACGAAAGUCCUCAACCUCUGUCGCUUGCUGCCGCCACUUGCUGCCACCGCUUACUGCCACCACAAUCUAGUGCUUGAUGCCGUGUUUUUUGGAGUUUCACCCUCUCCUCUCUCCUCUUUGUCACAAUAUUUUCAAGAGUUUCUAGUGAUGAUUCUGACUUCAGAUGCUCUUCCUUGCAAAUGUAAUGCUUUCUACCAGGUUUGUUUAUGUAAUUUAUUUUCAAUGGUUUUGUUUGAUCUUUUAUA